rnacentral:rRNA from 1 species
CAGUAGCCGCGGUAAUACGGAGGGGGCUCGCGUUGUUCGGAAUUACUGGGCGUAAAGCGCACGUAGGCGGCUUGGUAAGUUAGAGGUGAAAGCCCGGAGCUCAACUCCGGAAUUGCCUUUAAGACUGCCGAGCUAGUAGGUGAGAGAGGUAAGUGGAAUUCCGAGUGUAGAGGUGAAAUUCGUAGAUAUUCGGAAGAACACCAGUGGCGAAGGCGGCUUACUGGCUCAUUCUAGACGCUGAGGUGCGAAAGCGUGGGGAGUAAACAGGAUUAGAUACCCGUGUAGUCCCUGUCUCUUAUAC